GAGGGUGUAGCUCAGUGGCAGAGUGUGUGCCUAGCACGUACAAGGUCCUGGGUUCAAUAAGUACCUAGUUACAUCU
rnacentral:tRNA from 1 species